rnacentral:rRNA from 1 species
CGGACGGGUGAGUAACGCGUGAGGAACCUGCCUCAAAGAGGGGGACAACAGUUGGAAACGACUGCUAAUACCGCAUAAGCCCACGGCUCGGCAUCGAGCAGAGGGAAAAGGAGCAAUCCGCUUUGAGAUGGCCUCGCGUCCGAUUAGCUAGUUGGUGAGGUAACGGCCCACCAAGGCGACGAUCGGUAGCCGGACUGAGAGGUUGAACGGCCACAUUGGGACUGAGACACGGCCCAGACUCCUACGGGAGGCAGCAUG